AACGAACGCUGGCGGCAGGCUUAACACAUGCAAGUCGAACGCCCCGCAAGGGGAGUGGCAGACGGGUGAGUAACGCGUGGGAAUCUACCCAACUCUACGGAAUAACUCAGGGAAACUUGUGCUAAUACCGUAUACGCCCUUCGGGGGAAAGAUUUAUCGGAGUUGGAUGAACCCGCGUUGGAUUAGCUAGUUGGUGGGGUAAAGGCCUACCAAGGCGACGAUCCAUAGCUGGUCUGAGAGGAUGAUCAGCCACAUUGGGACUGAGACACGGCCCAAACUCCUACGGGAGGCAGCAGUGGGGAAUAUUGGACAAUGGGCGCAAGCCUGAUCCAGCCAUGCCGCGUGAGGGAUGAAGGCCCUAGGGUUGUAAAGCUCUUUCACCGGUGAAGAUAAUGACGGUAACCGGAGAAGAAGCCCCGGCUAACUUCGUGCCAGCAGCCGCCGUAAAAC
rnacentral:rRNA from 1 species